rnacentral:rRNA from 1 species
GUGAGGAAUUUUCCGCAAUGGGCGAAAGCCUGAUCCAGCCAUGCCGCGUGAACGAUGAAGGCCUUCGGGUUGUAAAGUUCUUUAGCCGAUGAUUAUAAUGACUGUAGUCGGAAAAUAAGCCCCGGCUAACUUCGUGCCAGCAGCCGCGGUAAUACGAAGGGGGCGAGCGUUAUUCGGAAUCACUGGGCGUAAAGCGUGCGUAGGCGGUUUUGUAAGUUAGGAGUGAAAGCCCAGGGCUCAAACUUGGAAUUGCUCUUAAAACUGCAAGGCUCGAAUCUCGGAGAGGAUAGCGGAAUUUCCAGUGUAGCAGUGAAAUGCGUAGAUAUUGGAAGGAACACCAGUGGCGUAAGCGGCUAUCUGGACGAGUAUUGACGCUGAGGCACGAAAGCGUGGGGAUCAAACAGGAUUAGAAACCCCUGUAGCC